ACAACAAAUUAAGUUUAAGUCCAUUUAAAAUAUUUAUUUCCUUUGAAUACAUUUACGUUGCGGAAGUUUUACUCGGUAAUCAUGAUAUUUUGAAAAUAAGUAACUUUUAUAAAACGCGCCCUAGAAUUAACCAAUUUAAUAACCCAAAAUAUUAAAAAUAAUAAAAAGAGCGGCCUUAUUACAACUUAAACCAGAAUAAAAAUAAUCAAAAUAAUAAAUACGAAACUUAUUUUAAAGAAAACAGAAACUUAAUCUUCGUGGCCACUCUGAAUCCUGCCUAGCUCCAAGUCCACCAACUAGGGCUCACCUGCAAGGAUGGAAGAGAAAGGGGGUGAGUUUGGAAAACUCAGUGUGUAAAGUAUCCCAACCAGAGCCCAAAUCAGUUCAAGCUUUACUGGGCUUAAGCCCUAUUCAGAAAUCAGUGUUAACUGGGCCUUAGCCCAUAUCAAUAUUAAUCUGGGCCAUAGCCCUAUUACAAGUCGAGAUAUAUUAGGCCUUGGCCAUAUUAACACAGUUGGGCCCAUUUCAAUACAGUUGGCCCAUAACAAAACAGCCUCAUGUGAUUAAUGCAUGAUAACCCCAUCCAACCCUACACUUGCCUCCGUCUAUCCCUACACUUCCUGUGGGGAAUAAAUCACCCACGCCAUCCUUACACUUACAGUGUUAGCACCGGUUGCGUCACUAACUAUAGUCCGCAGCAAAGCUGCUUAUAUCAGAAUCUGUGGCACAACCACCAGAACGGGUUCUUCCUCCAUAACAUAACCCAGAUCCCAUGCAACAGAUAUACAUGUCAUGGCAUACAACAAACAGAAUCAGAAUAUAAUACAUUUCAGUCAAAAUUAACCCUAGGGGUAUAACGGUCGUUUUGCCCUAGGGGUAAAAUGGUAAAUUUCAUACUUAGGGGUAUUUUAGUAAAAUUCACUAUUUUAGGGUUUACAUACAUCCUACAACCGUUAACGCAUCAACAGAAAUACUUACCGAGCGUCUUUACUAAAUUGGGCCUGUUGGCCCAUUAACCCGUUUUCGGCCCAUUAAGCCCAAAUAUACUGAAGUGCACGAAAUUGCGCACUCUGCAAUCAUACCGCUUUAGAUUACCAAAACUAACAAACAACCAUCUCACGAGCGCUCGCAUGCUCGCAAGUUCCCAAAAUGCUGGCUUUAAUGGCCUCGGCUUGAAGAAUUAAGAGAGCAAGAGAAUGAAAAAGAGAAGAGAAAAAAAAUGAAUCAUAAAGGCCAAAAAUAAAUGGCACUUAUUUGCUAUGGCCGAAUGAGUGCAUUUCGGUAUAAAUCUUCCUUUUAAAUUCCAAUCCCCU
rnacentral:lncRNA from 1 species